CUCCCCACAAAAACAUAAAGGAAAAAAAACAUGCAUGCUUAAAGGACCACUAUAGUGCCAGGAAAACAUACUUGUUUUCCUGGCUCUAUAACGUCCUUGGGUCCCCCUCCCGCCGUGCUGUAGGGGGAGGAAGGGGUCAAUCCCUCACCUUUUUUCCAGCGCCGGGAACUCUCCUCCUCCUUUCCCGUCAUCGACUGAAAGCACAAGCGGGGCAUGAGCCGUGCGCGCAGUCAGCCAGUCUCAUAGGAAAGCAUUAUCAAUGCUUUCCUAUGGAUGUUGGCGUCUUCUCACUGUGAAAAUCACAGUGAGAAGCGCGGAAGCGCCUCUAGCGGCUGUCAGUGAGACAGCCACUAGAGGCUGGAUUAACCCAUAGGUAAACAGAGCAG